ensembl:lncRNA
CAGGCGCCAAACGUAUGGUACUCACACAGCUGUAAAACGUAAAAAUGGUUCACCUGCAUUGACCUGGCUAACGCUUUUUUCUGUCUCCCACUAGCAGAGGAACUUUGUGAUAUUUUUUCUUUCACACAUAGGGGUCGACAAUGGCGAUACACGACCUGCUGCUGGCGGCCCGAUGGUGGCCGCCUGCAUCCAAGCUACGAUGACGGUCCUCACCAGACUGGCAGAGAAAGGGUUCAAGGUGUCAAAAGACAAGCUACAGCUGAAUUCACCAACAGAGUCGGAGAACGGAGGGACCUGCACCCGCUGGACCAGAACCUGCCCCAGGCGGAGUGGGUGUUGCUGAAGGUCAUCAAGCGAAAGUGGUCGGAGCCAAGGUGGACGGGUCCUCAUCAGGUGGUGGAGAGAACGAGCCAUGCGGUCCGCCUGAGGGACAAAGGAGAGACCUGGUACCAUUGGAGCCAGUGUACACCAGCGCAGGAGCCAGGGAGGUCGCUGACGGACCUCAUCCAAACCGGGAAGGAGGAGCUUUCCCCAGUGUGGACGGAAGGAGGACCAACACCAGCCGGACCGGUGCCAGGAGCGGACCCCAGGACACUGCGGGACUACGAGCGAGUGAAGGAGACAAAGGACGCCGCCAGGGGAAUAGACUCUUAGGGGAAGGAACUGAGGAAUA